GGGGCUGUGGUGGAUCGCCAACGAGGGCUCGCGGCUCUCGGCGACCCUGACCGACGGCGAGGGGCUGGUCCAGUCCCGGCUGGCCCCG
rnacentral:tRNA from 1 species